CGUGGCGAACGGGUGCGUAACACGUGGAUAACCUUCCUUCAGGUGGGGAAUAACCCAGUGAAAAUUGGGCUAAUACCGCAUAACAAGACGAGGGCACAUGCUCUUGUCUUCAAAGGCGCAAGUCGCCGGAAGAGGGAUCCGCGGCCGAUUAGCUUGUUGGCGGGGUAACGGCCCACCAAGGCAAUGAUCGGUAGCCGGACUGAGAGGUUGGCCGGCCACACUGGAACUGAGACACGGUCCAGACUCCUACGGGAGGCAGCAGUGGGGAAUCUUGCGCAAUGGGCGAAAGCCUGACGCAGCGACGCCGCGUGGGGGAUGAAGCUUCUCGGAGUGUAAACCCCUUUCGACCCGGACGAACCCCCGCAAGGGAUUGACGGUACGGGUAUAAGAAGCCCCGGCUAACUACGUGCCAGCAGCCGCGGUAAAACGUAGGGGGCCAGCGUUGCUCGGAAUUACUGGGCGUAAAGGGUCCGUAGGCGGUGUGGCAAGUCGGUAGUGAAAUCUCUCGGCUUAACUGAGAGGCUGCUGCCGA
rnacentral:rRNA from 1 species